AUUGAAAUUUGUUUUAAUUGGAUUUCACUACUGUUUUUGUUUAGACGGUAGUUAAAUCCCUUAACUUGUAACAAAAAAAAAAAAAACUCCCUUAACAUGCGCGCAGCAAAACACAUAGAAACAUAAAAACCUAAAUCGCGUUCUUCUUCUCGUUGAAACCGGCCUAACUCUUCCUUGUUGAAACCCCAAAUCAUCUUCUUCUUCAUUUGUUCUUCUUGAAACUCUUCCUCAAUCUUUCAUUUAUUUUCAUUCCCAAUUUCUUCUCUCAACUUCGUCACAUCGAAUAAUCACGAUUCCUCAAUUUCUUUGCUCCACCCCAAAUUUCGUAGCUCUUCUCUGUGAUUAGAUAUGUAAUCAUCCAUAACUAAAGUUUGUUCCUUGUUCGAAACUCUCAAAAUCGUUCACCACUGAAGAUUGGUUAACAAUCGUGAAACCCUAGGCGCAGCCUCUGAGCUAUCGGCGCCGCUUCAUUUUAUUCUUCGAGUUUAGGGUGUAGAUAUACAACUCAGAAUGGCGAUUGAUAGUGCUAAAGCAACUCUUGCAGUGAAGCGUAGACUUGCAUGCGAGAUGUUGAAAUGUUGGCAACAGGCUCAAGAUAACAUUAUGAACCUUCUGCUCUCAAAUGGUUGGGGCGAAAAACAUCACCUUCUUGUCAAAUGGAAAUAUGUUGAAGCUAAGGUAUAUGCUUUUCCCCUCCGUUAUUUACAUCUUGGUAUUCGGUUAUUAUGCUUCUGCAUAGUAGUAUUAUUACAGACAAAAUUUUCUGAAUUAUUGAUUUUCUACUGCAAAUAAAUUCAGAUGAAAGUAUAAAUUGGUUUAAUAAUCUAUUUUCCUCUACAUUUACAACCGUCCUAAAGGGAUUUGAAUACUACCACUUAAGGUUAUAAAGCCAGACUCUUACUACUAA